rnacentral:rRNA from 1 species
GACGAACGCUGGCGGCGUGCUUAACACAUGCAAGUCGAACGGUGACGAGGAGCUUGCUCCUCCGAUCAGUGGCGAACGGGUGAGUAACACGUGAGUAACCUGCCCCAGACUCUGGGAUAACAGUUGGAAACAGCUGCUAAUACCGGAUACGAGACGGAGAGGCAUCUCUACCGUCUGGAAAGUUUUCGGUCUGGGAUGGACUCGCGGCCUAUCAGCUAGUUGGUGAGGUAACGGCUCACCAAGGCUAAGACGGGUAGCCGGCCUGAGAGGGUGUACGGCCACACUGGAAUUGAGAUACGGUCCAGACUCCUACGGGAGGCAGCAGUGGGGAAUCUUGGGCAAUGGGCGAAAGCCUGACCCAGCGACGCCGCGUUGGGGAUGAAGCCCUUCGGGGCGUAAACCCAUGUUGUAGGGGACGAAGAAAGUGACGGUACCCUACGAGAAAGCCCCGGCCAACUACGUG